GGACGGUUAGCUCAGUUGGUAGAGCACCUCAUUUACACUGAGGGGGUCGCGGGUUCGAGCCCUGCACCGUCCAUCA
rnacentral:tRNA from 5 species